GACGAACGCUGGCGGCGUGCCUAACACAUGCAAGUCGAGCGGAGACAGUGAGUAGCUUGCUAUGAACUGUUUUAGCGGCGGACGGGUGAGUAACGCGUGAGCAACCUUUCCCAGACAGGGGAAUAACACACCGAAAGGUGUACUAAUACCGCAUAAGACCACGGGAUCACAUGGUUCUGGGGUAAAAGAUUUAUCGGUUUGGGGUGGGCUCGCGUCCGAUUAGGUAGUUGGUGAGGUAACGGCCCACCAAGCCGACGAUCGGUAGCCGACCUGAGAGGGUGAUCGGCCACAUUGGGACUGAGACACGGCCCAAACUCCUACGGGAGGCAGCAGUGGGGAAUAUUGGGCAAUGGGGGGAACCCUGACCCAGCAACGCCGCGUGGAGGAAGAAGGUUUUCGGAUCGUAAACUCCUGUCCUUGGAGACGAGUAGAAGACGGUAUCCAAGGAGGAAGCCCCGGCU
rnacentral:rRNA from 1 species